GCAGGAAGUAGCCAGGAGACAGGACAUGAGAGAUCGAUUACAUUUCUGCUCGAGAGCCGACUUCCAGCUUAAGAUUCUUUGUCAUUAAGCUGUGUUUGACUGUAGAAGCUGAAUUGGCCAGGCUUCUCUUUUUGAUGGCGAGCUAAGGAAAAUAAUCACCUAGUCCAAGGAUCAAGUUUGGAAGAUUCCAGCCAAGAACUUCACCACCUGCUCUGUCUGGGCUGGUAGGAGGCUCUCGAGCCGACCCUUUACAAUUAUCACUUUACCUGCAGCACAUGGACUGUACUGCCAUCCUUUUUUUCCCCCCCAAGAACAACUAUCUGAACUGAGAUUUAAACAAGAUCCAGAGACACUGAAUAGUUAAAUGGAAUUGUAUAUAUGUAUAUAGCACUUGUGUUUUUCUCUUUAAAUUGCUUUCAUGUUGAAUGGCCAUUCAACUCAUUGUGUGUGUAUAUA